rnacentral:lncRNA from 1 species
AGGACAUCGACAACUGGUAUAGGCCAAUUCAAAACGUUCUUUAUUAUAAAAAAAUAAACUAUUAACUAUAAACAAAGAAAAAGGAAUGAGGUGUGGAAAUGUCAUAAUGUAAGGUGUAUGUAAGGUGCAUGGAUGCGUGAAUAUGUAUGUGUAAACAUGACUGAGUGGAAACUAAAUACAUCUACAAAGGAACAAACAAAACCGGAUCAUACCUGGAGGAGCAGGGAGAAAGGGAGAAAGGGAGAAAGGGAGAAAGGGAGAAAGCCCAGCGAGCGAGCCAGCAGCCCAGCGAGCGAGCCAGCAGCUCAGCGAGGAGCCAGACCAGCCAGACCAGAGAGAGGUUAGUGGAGCACUUGGUUAAAUACCCUGAGCCCAGGUGGCUCCAAUCACACCAGCUGCAAUCACUAACGACCCUCCUCUGCCUGCAGGGGGAACCACCCCUGCACUGCAGAGGAGGAGCCGUGACAGUUAUGAUACCAUUUAGGACUUUGAGCGUGGCUGAGGUGCACCCAUGACCAGCUCGGAAACCAGAUUGCAUAGUGAGAAGGUACGGUGGGAUUCGAAAUGGUCGGUGAUCUGUUUAUUAACUUGGCUUUCAAAGAUUUUAGAAAGGCAGGGCAGGAUGGAUAUAGGUCUAUAACAGUUUGGGUCUAGAGUGUCUUCCCCUUUGAAGAGGGGGGUGACCACGGCAGCUUUCCAAUCUUUGGGGAUCUCAGACGAUACGAAAGAGAGGUUGAAUAGGCUAGUAAUAGGGGUUGCAACAAUUUUGGCGGAUAAUUUUAGAAAGAGAGGGUCCAGAUUGUCUAGCCCAGCUGAUUUAUAGGGAUCCAGCUUUUGCAGUUUUUUCUGGAUUUGGGUGAAGAAGCAGGGGUGGGGGUUUGGGCAAGUUGCUGCAGGGGGUGCUGAGAUGUUGGCCCGAGGUAGGGGUAGCCAGAUGGAAGCAUGGCCAGCCGUAGAAAAAUGCUUAUUGAAAUGAUCGAUUAACGUAAAUUUAUCGGUGGUGACAGUGUUUCCUAGCCUCAGUGCAGUGGGCAGCUGGGAGGAGGUGCUCUUAUUCUCCAUGGACUUUAAAGUGUCGCAAAACCUUUUGGAGUUAGAGCUACAGGAUGCAAAUUUCUGUUUGAAAAAGCUGGUCUUUGCUUUCCUGACUGACUGCAUGUAUUGGUAUCUGGCUUUCCUGAAAAGUUGCAUAUCAUGGGGACUAUUCGAUGCUAGAGCAGUCCGCCACAGGAUGUUUUUGUGCUGGUCGAGGGCAGUCAGGUCUGGAGUGAACCAAGGGCUAUAUCUGUUCUUAGUUCUACAUUUUUUGAAAGGGGCAUGCUUAUUUAAGAUGGUGAGGAAAUUACUUUUAAAGAACGACCAGGCAUCCUCGACUGACAGGAUGAGGUCAAUAUCCUUCCAGGAUACCCGGGCCAGGUCGAUUAAAAGGCCUGCUUGCACAAGUGUUUCAGGGAGCGUUUGACAAUGAUGAGGGGUGGUCGUUUGACCACGGACUCAUAGCAGAUGCAGGCAAUGAGGCAGUGAUUGCUGAGAUCCUGAUUGAAAACAGUAGAGUGGUUUGGAGGGCAAGUUGGUCAGGAUAAUAUUUAUGAGGGUGCCCAUGUUUACGGAUUUAGGGUUGUUCCUGGUGGGUUCCUUGAUACUUUGUGUGAGAUUGAGGGCAUCUAGCUUAGAUUGUAGGACUGCCGGGGUGUUAAGCCAUAUCCCAGUUUAGGUCACCUAACAGAACAAACUCUGAAGAUAGAUGGGGGUCAAUCAAUUCACAUAUGGUGUCCACGGCACAGCUGGGAGCAGAGGGAGGUCUAUAACAGGCAGCAACAGUGAGAGACUGGAGAGUUUCAUUUUUUUAAAUUAGAAGCUCAAACUGUUUGGACAUAGACCUGGAAAGUAUGACAGAACUUUGCAGGCUAUCUCUGGAAUAGAUUGCAACUCCUCCCCUUUGGCAGUUCUAUCUUGACUGAAAAUGUUGUAGUUGGGUAUGGAAAUCUCAGAAUUUUUGGUGGCCUUCCUAAGCCAGGAUUCAGACACGGCAAGGACAUCAGGGUUGGCGGAGUGUGCUAAAGCAGUGAGGAAAACAAACUUAGGGAGGAGGCUUCUGAUGUUAACAUGCAUGAAACCAAGGCUUUUUCAGUUACAGAAGUCAACAAAUGAGAGUGCCUUGGGACAUGCAGGGCCUGGAUUAACCUCCAUAUUACCCGAGGAGCAGAGGAGGAGUAGGAUGAGGGUACGGCUAAAGGCUAUCAAAACUGGUUGUCUAGUGUGUUGGGGACAGAGAAUAAAAGGAGCAGAUUUCUGGUUGUGGUAGAAUAGAUUCAGGGCAUAAUGUACAGACAGGGGUUUGGUGGGGUGAGGGUACAGUGGAGGUAAACCCAGGCACUGAGUGAUGAUAAGAGAGGUUGCAUCUCUGGACGCGCUAGUUAUGCUGGAUGCGGUCACCGCAUGUGUGGGAGGUGGACAAAGGAGGUAUCUGAGGCAUUUUGAGUGGGACUAGGGGCUCCGCAGUAAACUAAAACAAUGAUAACUAUCCUAAACAACAGUAUACAAGGCACAUUGACAUUUGAGAGAGACAUAAAACGAGGCAUAAAGCAAUCACAGGUGUUGAUUGGGAGAGCUAGCUAAGACAACGACGGGUAAGACAACAACAGCUAAUCAGCUAAGACAACAACGACAGGUUUAUGGGACAUAAUCACAGUGCACCAGUCCCCUCCAGUCCUCUCUGUCCAGCCUGGAGACACUGUGCGAAUUCUCUGUAGAGCCUCACAAGACAUUGAUAACGAUAUGACACUUUACCAGUUCAAACCUGUGCAGGCACCCAGAGGCCUCAUUCAUGAUAGUAACCAGAAGUAUCCUUACACAUCUAGUCGGUUCAGUGGCUUAUUGAAUGGAGCUCUCACCACCUUCACUAUCACAGAGGUCCAGGUUAAGGAUGAAGCUGAGUAAUACUGCCAACAAAGUGAACAGCUUCCAUUCACACAGUGAAAUAUGGCUGUACAAAAACCUCUGUUAGCUUCUCUCACUUCAGUCCGUUUGUGCGAGUGCCCGGCCAAGCAUCCGAGAACUGUCAGGGUUCAAUGACCUCUUUCCAUCAUAGCUGUAGCUGUACUGUAAGCAUAUCACAAUCAUAAAUAACUGGCAAUAGGGUGGCAUUAGCCAGUCAAGGCAACACAAACAUGGGAAUGGAACUGAACUGGCAGCUGGAACGCUGCUGGCCUCUGAUCCCAUGUACCAUCUCCUGCCCUUGUGCACUUGGACAAGGCACUCAACCCCCCACAAUUGCUCUUCGUCAAGGGCACUGCACUACAGCUCAUCCUGUGCCUCUCAAUGUGUGUGUGUGUGUGUGUGUGUGUGUGUGUGUGUGUGUGUGUGUGUGUGUGUGUGUGUGUGUGUGUGUGUGUGUGUGUGUGUGUGUACACUCUUAGAAAAAAAGGUGCUAUCUAGAACCUAAAAGGGUUCUUUGGCUGUCCCCAUAGGAGAAUCCUUUAAAGAACACGUUUUAUUUCCUGGUAGAACCUAACAGAGGUUUUUUACAUGGAACCCAAAAGGGUUCUACCUAGAACCAAAAAGUGUUCUCCUAUGGGAACAGCUGAAGAACCCUUUUGGAACCCUUUUUCUACGAGUGCAUAUCUGGGGUGUUGGGAAAGGCAGGAGACAAAUUUCCACUCUAACCAAUGGACAAUAAAGUAUCUAUUCUAUAGGUCUACAAUAACAGAAUAAACUACUUCAGACUCGGCCAACAGUGUUAUUUGAGCAGUGAUCACCAUGAUGUCAACAUUUCAGCUCCUCUUUCUUUGCCCUAUGGACAAAAAGUACAUAUACAAGUUACAAAACUUAAAGCGGCAAUCAGAAGUAGAAACAAUAGUAAAGUGGUUGCCCCACCCCUGGUUCUGUAAUAAGCUGAGGGAUGGGUCUGGAAAAAUAUAACCACUGAAAUUCAUAGACAGCAUUAUUUUUAACCAUGUUCUGAGGCUAUAUAGUGUUUGUUUCCAUUUUCUUUGUUUACAAACAUUGGAGUAAAACAAGC